rnacentral:rRNA from 1 species
ACAGUGGACGCGAGCAUCUUUGUGGUCAAAAUUAUUAAGUGCAAAUGGCGGAUGCCUAGGCACCAGAAACCGACGAAGGACGUAUGAGGCUGCGAAAAGCCUCGGGGAGCUGCCAACAGAGCUGUGAUCCGAGGAUAUCCGAAUGGGGAAACCCAGCACGAGUAAUGUCGUGUUAUUUCUCUCUGAACACAUAGGGGAGAUAAAGGGAACGUGGGGAAGUGAAACAUCUCAGUACCCACAGGAAGAGAAAACAAAAGUGAUUCCGUUAGUAGUGGCGAGCGAACGCGGAAGAGGCCAAACCAAUAGCGUGCCAAACCGGCAGGUAUUGCGCUAUCGGUGUUGAGGGACCAACCCGAAUUGACUGCCGUCAAUUCAACAAGUCAGAAAAUAGCGAUGUAGGUGAAGGACGUGGGAAAGUCCGGCACAGAGGGUAAGAUCCCAAGUAAUACCGGACUCGUGUAAUCCGGUAUGAAUCUGGCGGGACCACCCGCUAAGCCUAAAUACUCUCUGGUGACCGAUAGUGAACAAGUACCGUGAGGGAAAGGUGAAAAGAACCCCGCAAGGGGAGUGAAAUAGAAUCUGAAACCGUUUGCAUACAAACCGUUGGAGCUGCCUUGUGCAGUGACAGCGUGCCUUUUGAAGAAUGAGUCUACGAGUUAGUGUGAUGUGGCAAGGUUAACCCGUCGAGGGGAAGCCGUAGCGAAAGCGAGUCUGAAUAGGGCGAAUAAGUCGCAUCAUCUAAACCCGAAGCGAGGUGAUCUCGCCAUGACCAGGUUGAAGCGCGGGUAAGACCGCGUGGAGGACCGAACCCACUAAAGUUGAAAAUUUAGGGGAUGAGUUGUGGCUAGGGGUGAAAGACCAAUCAAACUUCGUGAUAGCUGGUUCUCUCCGAAAUGCAUUUAGGUGCAGCGUCACGUGUUUCUUACUGGAGGUAGAGCUACUGGAUGGCCGAGGGGUCCUACAAGAUUACCAACGUCAGCCAAACUCCGAAUGCCAGUAAGUGAGAACGUGGCAGUGAGACAGUGGGGGAUAAGCUUCAUUGUCGAGAGGGAAACAACCCAGAACAGCAACUAAGGUCCCAAAGCCUGUGCUAAGUGGAAAAGGAUGUGAAGUCGCAUAGACAACCAGGAGGUUGGCUUAGAAGCAGCCACCCUU